UUCCACUGACCGCAGCAAGACGUUCUUCCAUUCCAGCUCGUACACCGCGAACCCCAUUGCUUGCGCGGCCGCGCUGGCCAAUCUGGAAAUCUGGCAGAGCGAGCCGGUGAUGGACCGCAUCAAUUCGCUUGCGGCGAUGCAUAAAGAGCGGCUCGCGCGGUUUCGCGGCGACCGGCGUUUCGCGGACGUCCGCCAGAUCGGAACCAUCGCCGCGCUCGACAUCGUGGCGAAAGAUGCCGGCUAUCUGGCCGACAUCGGCCCGCGGCUUUAUCGCGGAUUUCUCGCGCGCGGCCUGCUGAUACGGCCGCUCGGCAACACGGUCUAUCUGAUGCCGCCCUAUAGCACCACGGCGAGC
rnacentral:misc_RNA from 1 species